UCGACGCGAAGUCCCGCAAGGGAUCAGUAGAGUGGCMAACGGGUGAGUAACGCGUGGGUGACCUGCCUUCGAGCGGGGGAUAACGUCCCGAAAGGGGCGCUAAUACCGCAUAACAUCCUGCCUUUGAAGAGGUGGAGAUCAAAGCUGGGGAUCGCAAGACCUAGCACUGGAAGAGGGGCCCGCGUCCGAUUAGCUAGUUGGUGAGGUAACGGCUCACCAAGGCUCCGAUCGGUAUCCGGCCUGAGAGGGCGGACGGACACACUGGGACUGAGACACGGCCCAGACUCCUACGGGAGGCAGCAKUGGGGAAUUGUUCGCAAUGGGCGCAAGCCUGACGACGCAACGCCGCGUGGAGGAUGAAGAUCUUCGGGUCRUAAACUCCUUUCGAUCGAKACGAAUGGCCUCCGGGUGAACAAUCCGGAGGAGUGACGGUACCKAGAGAAGAAGCCCCGGCUAACUCCGUGCCAGCAGCCGCGGUAAUACGGGGGGGGCAAGCGUUGUUCGGAAUUACUGGGCGUAAAGGGCUCGUAGGUGGCCAACUAAGUCAGACGUGAAAUCCCUCGGCUUAACCGGGGAACUGCGUCUGAUACUGGUUGGCUUGAGUGUGGGAGAGGGAUGCGGAAUUCCAGGUGUAGCGGUGAAAUGCGUAGAUAUCUGGA
rnacentral:rRNA from 1 species